GUGGGGAAUCUUGCGCAAUGGGCGAAAGCCUGACGCAGCCAUGCCGCGUGAAUGAUGAAGGUCUUAGGAUUGUAAAAUUCUUUCACCGGGGACGAUAAUGACGGUACCCGGAGAAGAAGCCCCGGCUAACUUCGUGCCAGCAGCCGCGGUAAUACGAAGGGGGCUAGCGUUGCUCGGAAUUACUGGGCGUAAAGGGCGCGUAGGCGGACAGUUUAGUCAGAGGUGAAAGCCCAGGGCUCAACCUUGGAAUUGCCUUUGAUACUGGCUGUCUUGAGUACGGGAGAGGUGAGUGGAACUCCGAGUGUAGAGGUGAAAUUCGUAGAUAUUCGGAAGAACACCAGUGGCGAAGGCGACUCACUGGCCCGUUACUGACGCUGGGGCGCGAAAGCGUGGGGAGCAAACAGGAUUAGAUACCCCAGUAGUCC
rnacentral:rRNA from 1 species